CCCCCUCGCCCACGAUUUUUUUUUCCGUUGGCUUGCUCCAAAAGCACACACUCACAGAUAGCAACAAAAAUAAAAAUAUUCCCUCACACCUCACUUUUUGUCCAUUCAACGGAAAGGGCACAAUAUACACACAUAACAUAUACAAGUGGGACCCACCACAGAAUUGUAUACACGCACAUACAAAAGCUUCACUGGGAGGGAUUUUUGUGGAUGACCAUAUACUCAUACCUUCUUCCACUUUUUUAGGAGGACUGGACCAUUUUCAUCUAUAUCAUCCAUACACAAUAUACAGAAAACAAAUAAUGGAGCCCAUGGAAGAAUUUUGAAAAAACAAUUAUCCAUUUUCCUCUUCUUCACACGGACAACUCACAUUUCAUUCACAAUUAGAAUACCUCACUCACAUAAUACACUCUCAAUUCCAAUCAUCCUCACGAUGGGUUGAAUUCUCAUACGCACAAAGGGACUCCAUUUUUUUUUCUGUUCAUUUCUUCUUUUCAUGUCUUCUCCACAAGCCCACAUCUUCUUCUUCAUUAACAUACAGUGAAAGAGAAUACACUAAGACUCCAUCUUCUUCACUAAUCCUGAUAGCAACAUGAGGGAACUACGAUCUUCGUCUUCUUUUCUUUUUAGGGAAGGGUUCCGAUCAAAGGAGAAAACAACACACGCACUAGAGAGAAAUGGAGAGAUGGUGAGGAAACGGUGAAAAUUCGAGAGAGAGAGGUCGGGUUGAGUUUUCAGGUGGGCAAGUCCGCGCUGGAAUUGGUCUUUUAGUUCAUUAGCUGAUCGAAACUCCACGGGAAAGAUUAAGAUUUUCGGAGCCUGAUUCGUUUCGUCGCUUCUUACCCGACUAAGCUCAUCAGAGUCCCCUUUACCCGGUCUUCUUUAGUCUUUGUUUCAUAUUAUUGGUUUGUUUUGGUCGAAGUCAGUUUGGUUUGCGGAAUCUCAAAGCCGAUUUGGCCUUUUACGGUUUCGUCGUUGAGGUUUGAGUUGGGGUUCCUUGUUUGAAGAUUUCGACCUCGGAUCUCUUUAUUAUCAACAAAAGUCGAUUAUCGGAAGAAACAAAGGGACGGUGAGCACUCUGCAUACAGGAGAACCAUGGACAUUGAGCAUAUUCAAGAACCUUAGAAGCAAAAAUGUCCUAAUCUGUCUCUUGACUUUCCAUUUUGAUGUUUAUUGCUUUUUUUUUUUUGGCUAAUUUCUUUUUGGGCCGGGUCACUUUUUGACCUGGCCCAUUGAUGUACAUAACUGGAUGUUUGCUUUUAUAAAAAGUAUUUCAUGCCCGAGUUUCACUUAAAAAUAAGUCUUCAAUCACAUUCUCUAUUACUUCAUCAUCAACAACAUUGUUGUAAAAUCUUUGAGAGUUGAAAAUGUAGUGAUUACUUUCAACUCUAAAAGAUAGAGUUUUGAGGCUUCCACAAGGUAUAAAUGGACAUGUGGCUUCAUUUUUUAAAUAAA